AUAUAAUAUCGAAGUUUCGACUACUUAGUAUAGCACAAAUAGCAAUGGAAGAUCUUAAGGAUUCAAUAGUUGUUGUGAAAGUCCUCCUUUCCAUUUUCUCGGUGAAAUUGCAAGUACAUAGUAGACAGAUUGAGGUCUUGGAAUCAACCAAGAAAAAGGGGUGAUUUGUUGCGUGAAGUAGGCAGAUUGAUACUACGGAAUCGGAUCAAUUCUUACUAAUGAAGUCAGUGUUUCAGUAUUGUAGUAAAUUUUAAAAUAAAAUUUUAAUGAUACGCAUAUUCUAAUUAAAGUUUGGAGGAACCGUGAGGACAAAAAGUAUGAUAUAGUUGUAAUGUGUACCUUUUUAAAAUUUGUAUUGGGAAAUUCUCUCUUGGAAGGUUUCUUACUUAAAUUUAUUCCAGACGAGAAAAAACUUGUGACUGAAGAUGUACGAAAUUUCCUGGUUUGAAUUAAAUCUCUUGAUCUUCCAGCAAAAA